rnacentral:rRNA from 1 species
CACGGGGGGAGCAAGCGUUGUUCGGAAUCACUGGGCGUAAAGGGCGUGCAGGCGGUCAGGUAAGUGGAAUGUGAAAUGCCCCGGCUCACCCGGGGACCGGCAUCUCAUACUGCUUGGCUUGAGUACGGGAGAGGAUGUGGGAAUUCCUGGUGUAGCGGUGAAAUGCGUAGAUAUCAGGAGGAACACCGGUGGCGAAGGCGCACAUCUGGCCCGAUACUGACGCUGAGGCGCGAAAGCUAGGGGAGCAAACGGG